rnacentral:rRNA from 1 species
GGCGACCGGCAAACGGGUGCGGAACACGUACAGAACCUUCCUUUAAGCGGGGGAUAGCCUUCGGAAACGGAGAUUAAUACUCUAUAGUAUUGUUUGAUGGCAUCAUUAGACAAUUAAAGAUUUAUCACUUAAAGAUGGCUGUGCGGCUGAUUAGGUAGUUGGUGUAGGUAACGGCUCACCAAGCCUUCGAUCAGUAACUGGUGUGAGAGCACGACCAGUCACACGGGCACUGAGACACGGGCCCGACUCCUACGGGAGGCAGCAGUAAGGAAUAUUGGUCAAUGGACGCAAGUCUGAACCAGCCAUGCCGCGUGAAGGAUUAAGGCCCUCUGGGUUGUAAACUUCUUUUAUCUGGGAAGAAAUGCAUCUUUUCUAAGGUGUUUGACGGUACCAGAGGAAUAAGCACCGGCUAACUCCGUGCCAGCAGCCGCGGUAAUACGGUGGGUGCAAGCGUUAUCCGGAUUCACUGGGUUUAAAGGGAGCGUAGGUGGGUCUGUAAGUCAGUGGUGAAAUCUCCGUGCUUAACAUGGAAACUGCCAUUGAUACUAUAGGUCUUGAAUUAUCUGGAGGUUAGCGGAAUAUGUCAUGUAGCGGUGAAAUGCUUAGAUAUGACAUAGAACACCAAUUGCGAAGGCAGCUGGCUACAGGUAUAUUGACACUGAGGCUCGAAAGCGUGGGGGAUCAAGCAGGAUUA